CCAGCAGCUGCCUGUAGAGGAACCAAAAACAAUUUUUUUUUUAAUCAACCCUCACUCUGGUCUUCAUGGAAAGCUGCCUACUUUGCUGUUGGGCCUCUCAGAUUGCAUGUUUGAUCUAUCAGGAACUGGCCUUCCUCCACCAACUCAGAAUUCUCUCUAGUCUGAGUCUCGCUCUGUCACCCAGGCUGGAGUACAAUGGCACGAUCUCUACUGCUCACUACAACCUCCACUUCCCAGGUUCAAGAGAUUCUCCCACCUCAGCCUCCCGAGUAGCUGGAAUUACAGGUGUGCACCACCAUGUCCGGCUAAUUUUUGUACUUUUAGUAGAGAUGGGGUUUCACCAUAUUGGCCAGGACUGGUCUCAAACUCCUGACCUCAAGUGAUCCGCCCACCUCGACCUCCCAAAGUGUUGGGAUUAUAGGCGUGAACUACCAUGCCCGGCCAAUGUUAUUUCUAUUUAAGUCAAAAUUGUGUGAGGGGAGGCUAAUUGCUAUAACAAGCCCCAAAUCUCAGUGACUUAUCACAGUAAAUAUUCAUUUGUCACUCAAAUCAGAGACCACUGAAAUUGAAUGAGGUAUGUGUAUGUAUGUGAGAGGUCUGCUUCAUGCAGUCACUCAAGGACCCAGGAUCCAUCCACCUAGUGGUUCUAGACUCUUCUAGUGCUUCAGAGUCCUCUAUGCAGAGCCCUGCCAUCCCCCAGCAGAAUGGGAAUAAGAUAAUAUGCCGGAUUGUGGAGAGGGUCCUGAGGCCAGCCCUGGAAAAGAUCCUCAUCACUUCCAUCCACAUUUCAUGGCUCCAGCUCACUGCAAGAAAGCUGGUAAGUGUCAUCUAGCUGUGUGUCAGAAAUGAAGAGAAGGAACAGAGAUACUGGUGAGCACCACCAUUUCCCACCUGAAAAUAGGUAAUGAAUUUUCAUUUGAAUGACACAGCAGUUGCAUGAUACAUAGGACAUGAGCACAAAAUAUCAGUAUUCUAAAGAACAUCAUAAUACCAGGAUUUACAUUCAAAUGAGUGAUGUCCAUUUGCCAGCAGUUACCUGGAAAAGCUGUCUGCUUUUUCCAUGGAUACCAUUAAU
rnacentral:lncRNA from 1 species